GUGAGGAAUAUUGGUCAAUGGGCGAGAGCCUGAACCAGCCAAGUCGCGUGAAGGAUGAAGGUUUUAUGAAUUGUAAACUUCUUUUGCAGGGGAAUAAAGUACGGUACGUGUACCGUUUUGUAUGUACUCUGCGAAUAAGGAUCGGCUAACUCCGUGCCAGCAGCCGCGGUAAUACGGAGGAUCCGAGCGUUAUCCGGAUUUAUUGGGUUUAAAGGGUGCGUAGGUGGAUUGAUAAGUCAGCGGUGAAAGUUUGCAGCUUAACUGUAAAAUUGCCGUUGAAACUGUCGGUCUUGAGUGCAAAUGAGGUAGGCGGAAUGUGUUGUGUAGCGGUGAAAUGCUUAGAUAUCACGAAGAACUCCGAUUGCGAAGGCAGCCUGCCGGAGCACAACUGACGCUGAAGCUCGAAAGUGCGGGUAUCGAACAGGAUUAGAUACCCGUGUAGUCC
rnacentral:rRNA from 1 species